AUUGAACGCUGGCGGCAGGCCUAACACAUGCAAGUCGAGCGAGCGGCGGACGGGUGAGUAAUGUCUGGGAAACUGCCUGAUGGAGGGGGAUAACAACUGGAAACGGUAGCUAAUACCGCAUACCAUCAGAUGUGCCCAGAUGGGAUGAGCUGGUAGGUGGGGUAACGGCUCACCUAGGCGCAGAUCCCUAGCUGGUCUGAGAGGAUGACCAGCCACACUGGAACUGAGACACGGUCCAGAUUCCUACGGGAGGCAGCAGUGGGGAAUUUUGCACAAUGGGAGCAAGCCUGAUACAGCCAUGCCGCGUGUGUGAAGAAGGCCUUCGGGUUGUAAAGCACUUUCAGCGGGGAGGCGUUACCCGCAGAAGAAGCACCGGCUAACUCCGUGCCAGCAGCCGCGGUAAUUC
rnacentral:rRNA from 1 species